rnacentral:lncRNA from 1 species
CCCAAAUACAAAUACCAAUGCCAAGGUUAACACCAAUACCGACACCACGCAUGCCCAUAGUAGUCACACAAAGCCUCUAACAGAAAUCCAAGAACAUCUAGUCAGGACAUGCCCCCAACCAUAGCCAAAAUCAAAGUCCAAGAAAUAAAUAAAAAUAUGGAAAGAGGUUCAUGGCAUAGAAUGGAGUCUUCUGGAGUAUGGAAUCUCACCACUUCAGUCCAACACAGAGUUGUUCCCAAAUCCAAGAUCACUGAGCAGGAAGAGGAGUAUGACCGGUUCCUGCAUCGCGUCGGGAUACAGCACCCAAAGAUGGGUUAGUGGGUGAACACUAGUAUGUACGCAAGAAUAAAGAUAAAAUAAUGCCAUUAUUCAAAUCCAAAGUAAAUAACUAUAUGCAACCACAUACAUGCAUAUAUAUAUAUAUCAUGCCGAGAAAUAAAAUCGGGUUUAGCAUGCAUUUAAAACCUUUAACUUGGGAUUGUGUGGCUCUGCCAUCCUAAAUCUACCCAUGGGCUAUAUGGGUUCAACUCACCCUGCUGAAAAGGCCCCGGUGCAUGUUAGCCAACGAGCCAGAGAAAAACCUGAGAUGACUAGUACAUCCAAAAUACAAGUGUGACAAAAUACACACGAUCACCAAGACCAACCUCACAACGGCAAAUUUGCGCUUCCAGUUUUCAUUCCCUGGGACCACUACCUUCCACGGCUUUGCUAACAAAUUCCCCUUUAAGCCUAUAUUAAAACCAUUCACACACAACCAACCAAUUACCAAGGAGUCUCUUUUUCGGCAUUAACCAUUGGUAUCGUCAUACCAAAACUAGAGCUUGUAAGUCUAUCCAUUUAUGCCAUUCCAAAGCCAUUAAACUAAUUAGAAUCCAAGGUUUCCGUUUAAAAUAAUACCACAGCCACCAAGUCCUUUCCAAUCCAUUUAAAAUCAUUUAAACCAAUUUAGGUUCCAUUACCAUAGUAUGCAAUGCAAAGUUUUCAAUUAUAGUCAAACUAUGUGACAAAAUCAUUCUCAUAGACAUUUUAACAAACAUGUUGAGGGCUUAAGAUUUUUCCAAAACCAAAACCAUAUAUCAAUUGACCAUUCCCAUGCAACCACAUGUUCAAACCAUAAUUAUAACAUGAAAACCAUAAGAAAAACAUGGGAAAACAUUAUCCAACUAAGAACAACCAAAACCCCAACAUAUACUUCAAAAUCCAAAACAAUCCCACAAUAAUGCCAUGAAAAUCAUUCAUUCAAACAUUCUUUUAGUUGAACUAACAAUGAGGAAAGAGUAUCAUUCCUUAGACAACAAGGAAGAUGGAGAGAAACCACCCUUUAGAUCGUUAAAUAAUUGACUUAAAGAAAACCAUAGUUUUUCUUGAACCAAGAUCUUGAGAGAGAUUUGAGAGUGUUUAAAGAGUGUUUGAUUGGGAAUAAUAGGUUAAGGAAGCCUCCAAAGGUGUUUUAUGUCGUGGGGUUCAAAAGGUGUUAAGAGAGGAAAUAUCCAAAAUACCCCCAACUUUAACUAUAAAAAGGACAUAGGAAGGUACGGCUGGACCACUCAACUCGUAUCCACAUCAUAUGAGUGGUACCCUCUAAUCGUAUCUUGAUCAGAAAGUUAGACACCAAAUUCUAUCCAACAUACGACUCCUCAGAAUAACUCAUACCAUCACCAUACAACAAGUACCCUUUAAGUCAUAUCCUAAGAAGAACAUCAAGGCUAGAUAUUGGACAACAUACGGAUGGACACCAUACCCCUCGUAUCAUGAACAUAUGACUCAUCACUACCAACCCAUAACCAAAAUAGAAACUCAACCACCAAACAUUGGACACCCAACGAGUUGGAUCACCUAACCCGUACCUACACCAUACGAUUAAUAUGGUGAGUCGUAUGAUGAACAAAAAGCUUAAGACUCAAGAAAUUUGAAAGGUCCAGAACCCAGGGUGUUUUUAUUCUCCCCCACUUGGAUCAUUCAUCCUCGAAUGAUGAAACAAGGCAGUAUAAGAACAAUUAAACCCCCAAACGUCUCUACUCUUACCUUUCUGACAGAAAACAGAACACCAAGGAAUUCAACUUUUUACCUUUAACAAAGACAAUAAAAAAAGAGGUAAAGAAUCAACACAUACUGACAUACGAAUUUCUGAAGCGAAAAAUAAAAAUGGAUACUUGGUCUUCAUGUCCUCUUCAGCUUCUCAUGUAGCCUCUUCCACCUUGUGGUUCCUCCAUAGAACCAUUACCAAGGCCACAUCCUUGGUCUGCAAUCGAUGAACCUGAUGAUCCAAGAUCUCAACUAGGAUAUCCUCAUAAGAUAAGGAAUCUAAAAUACCAAUAUCUUAAUAGGCACAACCUGUGACGGAUCGCCAAUGUACCUCCACAACAUAGAGAUAUGGAAUACCAGGUGAAUGGAUCUCAAGCUAGAUGGCAACUCCAACUCAUAUCUGAUAUUUCCAACCCUUCUCAAAAUCACAUAAGGACCCACAUAUCAGGGACUAAGCUUCCCCUUUAUCCCAAACUGCAUCACUCCUUUCAUGGGAGACACCUAUAGGAACACUCUAUCUCAAACCUCAAACUCCAAGUCCCUUUGCCUCAUGUUUCCAUAAGACUUUUGAUGACUUUAGGCAGCCUUAAGCCUAUCUCGAUUCACCUUUACCUUCUUCAUAGAUUGGUGAACCAAAUCUAUCCCAAAUAUAUCCACCUCACCAAGCUCAAACCACCCAAUAAGAAACCUACACCUCCUACCAUACAAUACUUCAAAUGGAGCCAUCCUAAUGAUAGAGUGGCAGCUAUUAUUGUCGGCAAACUCUAAAGAGGCAAAUGUUCAACCAACUACCACCAAAGUUGAUCACGCAAACCCGAAGCAAAUCCUCUAACAUUUGAAUAGUCCUUUUUGCUUGUCCAUCUGACUACUGGUGAAAAAUAAAAAUAAGACUCACCUUGGUCCCCAAACCUUUCUAAAAUGACAAGCAAAAUUGAGAUAAAACUACAUACCAAAAUUAUAUAUGAUAGAAAUUGGUACCCCAUGCAACUUCACAAUCUCUUGAAGAUAAAACCUUGCAUUAUCCUCAGUCGAGAAGUUAGUCCUUACUAGUAAAAAGUGAGCUGACCUUGUCAUCCUAUCCAUGAUGACCCAAACUGAAUCAAAUUGAUUUUGAGACUAAGGGAGAUCAGUAACAAAAUCCAUGUUGAUUACUUUCCACUUCCAUUCAGGCAACUUAAUCUCUGACAUAAUCUUUUGGGCCUCAUGUGCUCAACUUUAACUUGUUGGCACACCAUGUACUUGGCCACAAAAUUAGCCAUAUCCCGCUUCAUAUUGUUCCACCAAUACAUCUCCUUGAGGUCAUAAUACAUUUUUGUCAAACCAGGAUAAACAAUAUAGUGCGGCUCAUGCGCCUCAUCCAAAAUCCUCUCUCGUAAACCAUCUACAUCGGGAACACAUAAUUUUCCUUGGUAUCACAAAGUAACAUCACCACUAAUCUUGAAGGCCAUCACUUUUUACCCACCUACAUCACCCUUAAUCCUCAUCAAGAUAGGAUAUAACAUCUACUUUUCCUUGAUUUCAGCACCAAGACACGAUCGUGCUACUUUCUGCACAAACACACUACCACUCUCGGAGUCCAAAAUAUGAACUCUAAGGUUAGCCAAAUGGUGAAUGUCUUUCACUAACUCCCAUUUCACCUUAUACACAUAAGCUAGAAUCCCCAUGGAUAACCUGCUAAGAGAAUAAGCAACCAUGUUAGCUUUACCUGGGUGGUAGUAAAGACUCAUAUAAUAAUCCUUGAGAAGUUCAAGCUAUCUCCUUUGCUUGAGGUUAAGCUCUUUUCUAGUAAACACAUAAUGCAGGCUCUUAUGAUCAGAAAAGAUAGCCACAUGUACUCCAUACAAAUAGUGACGCCAUCUUUCCAAUGCGAACGCACAACUAACAGCUCCAAGUCAUGAGUCAUAUAGUUCUUCUCAUGCACCUUUAACUGUCUAGAGGCAUAAGCUAUCACCUUUCCAUACUACAUCAAAACACAACCAAGCUCCAUAUGGGAUGCAUCAUAGAAGACCACAAACCCAUCAGUACCUUCAAGCAAACUCAAAAUCAGAGCCAAAGUUAGAUAAUCCUUCAACUUCUCAAAACUACCCUUAGAAAUAUCACACCAUAGGAACUUUACCUUCUUCUAAGUCAAUUUAGUUAAUGGGGUAGCUAUAGUCGAAUAACUCUCCACAAACCUCGUGUAGUAACCCGCUAAACCUAAGAAGCUCCAAAUGUCAUUGGAUUUAUGGGUCUAGGCCACUUCCUCACCACUGUAACUUUCUAUUAAUCCACCAUGAUCCCUUCACUAGAAAUGACAUGACCCAAAAAAGUGAUAGCCUUUAACCAGAACACACAUUUUGAGAAUUUGGCAUAUAGUUGAUGCUUCUUCAGGGUCUACAAUACAAUACAGAGGUGAUCGGAAUAAUCCACCUUACUUUUUUAGUACACCAGAAUGUCAUCUAUGAAGACAAUAAAAACAAAUUCAAAAACCAACGGAAUACCCUAUUCAUUAAAUCCAUGAAUGUCGCAGGGGCAUUGGUCAAAUCGAAAGGCAUAACCAAAAACUCAAAGUGCCCAUACCGGGUAUGGAAGGCAGACUUAGGGAUAUCCACCUCCAUAAUCUUUAACUGAUGAUACCCGAAUUAAAGAUCAAUUUUGAAGAAAAACUUAGCACCCUGCAACUGAUCAAGCAAAUUGUUAUCUUGUUCAACUACCGAUAAUCAAUACACAUCCGAAGGGAACCAUUUUUUUUACAUACAAAUAACACUGAUGUACCCCAUGAGGACACACUAGGAUGGAUGAAACCCUUGUCUAAAGAUCAUUGAGUUGAUCCUUAAGCUCCUUCAACUCAGUUGGAGCCAUUCUACAUUGAGGAAUAGAGAUUGGACGAGUGUCCAGAUCAAGAUCACUCCCAAACUCAAUCUCCCUAUCAGGAGGAACACCAGGAAAGUCAUCAAGAAGACCUUAGUAGAUUUAUUCACCACUGGAAUAGAAUUCAAAUAAGGGUCAUCUGAGUUAGAAUCUUUAACCCGAACUAGAUGAUAGAGACACCUCUUGGAGAUUAAUCUCCAAGAUCUAAGAUAAGAUAUGAACUUCCCCUUAGGAGUUAGGGAACCAUCCUCCCACUCCACAACUAUCUCAUUAGGGAAUUUAAAGACAACCUUACGAGUAUCACGGUCUAGAGAUGCAUAGAAAAAGUAAAACUAAUCCAUCCCUAAUGUGACAUCAAAAUCAACUAUAUCUAGUUCAAAUAGAUCUACCAAAGUCUCCCGACCACGCACAGAUACCACAUAAUCCCUAUAGAUUUUGCUAGCUAUCAUAAAGUUACGCACUGGGGUAGAAAUAAAAAAGGACUCAAAAUACACUCUGGACCAAAAGCAAAAUGUACAGCCACAAAUAAGGUCACAUAAGAGAGAGAGGACCUCAAAUCAAGUAAAUAGUACACAUUAUGAAAAAAGAGUUUCAAUAUACCAGUAAUAACAUUAGGCGAUGCCUCAGACUCCUAUCGGGUAGUGAGAGUCAUGACAUUAGGCGAUGCCUCAGACUCUUGUCAGGUAGUGAGAGAAUAAAGACAGUUCCAAACAUUGUCGAAACUAGAUGGUGCACCCUUUGGUGUCGAAGCUAAUGAUGAAGCAACAGGAACCUUGUCUGCCCCCGAAUCAACCGUAGCCACUAAAAAGUUAUUAAUCAUAUGCCCUGGCUGACCACAACUAAAGCACUUAUCCCUUUUUUCCUUAUAAUAACCCUAAUAUAAUCUACCACAGAACCUACAAAGAGGCUAUGAUGGAGCUGACUGGGCCUACUAUCCUAAGAUUGGGCACCUUGUGCCUUAAAGUUAUCGCCACCUUAGAAAUUCCUACCACCAGACAGCUUUGAGUAGGGAGCAUUAGCCUUUGAGUAAGACCCAGAGUUGCCCCACUUCUUCUUGGGCCACUUCUCUUCAUCUCUUUCACUCUGUUGUUGUCCACCACCUUGCUCAGAGAACUUAAAUAUAUUGCCCUGCCUCUUUCUUAUUUUAUCGUUCUUCUUCUCUUCUUCUAGCUACUGCAUGUAAUAACCAUCCUAGAGAUAUCUAUGUCCUUGAUCAACAAGGUAGCCUUAAUCUCCAAUAUCAAAUCUCUGGAAAACUAGAAAGCAAACUUUCUUAUUCUAUCUUUCAUGUUAGAAACCAUCUCGAGAGCAUACCGAGAUAACUGGUGAAACUUUAAGGGAUACUCCUUGACUGACAUUUUGCCUAGCCUCAGAUUGACAAACUCUUCUACUUUUUCUUCCCUCAACUCCUGAGAAAAGAAGCAAUCCAAGAAAGCAUUAGAGAAAUCUUCCCAUAGGGAUGACUUAGCCUCAUCACCCCUUGACUGAUCCCAUUCCUUGUACCACUAGUACACCACAUUUCAACUGGAAGGCAGGAAACUACUGGCCCUCCACAUUUGUGGCAUGCAUAACUCGAGAAAUCUUUUCCAUUUCAUCCAGAAAACCUUAUGAAUCCUCCUCCACCUUAACACUAGUAAAUGUCAGAGGGUUCAACCUUAUGAACUGGCCAACCCUCGUGGCAUCAUAAGAUGGAGUAACAAAUGCACCACGCUCAGCCUGAGAAGCUACCAACUAAGCCAACAUAUGGAUAGACUGACAAAACUUAACAUUCAUCACAUCAUCCUAAGGAGCUCAAGAAAGACAGGAGGGAACUAGUGUAACUCUAGAAUGACAAUCAGGAACUAGACCCCAUAAGUAGAUCAAGUCCCAUUAGCAUUGUCCACGGGUGGGACAAAGGAGUUUCCAUGAGCAUUAAAUAGUUGAGGUGGCAUAAUCUAAAAAGAAAACAAAUAGGAAUUAGAGUAGAAUUAAAGACCUUAGACUCUACAGCUUGAUAACAAAAUAUGAGAAGGAUAAAUAUUCCUAGAUACCUCGUAGCCUCUCCCUUAUGAGUGUGGCAUGCUACCCAGCCUUAAAAUAGACUCUACUUGACAAGACUUUAUGAACUCCCAAGUGACCAUGAACUUAGGUCUCUAAUACCAAUCUGACAAGACCAAAACCAGGACCUAGUCAUGUCGGGCAUCUAAAGUUUGACCCGGACCAGAGACCAACCCCAAUACCCAACUAUAACUAUCCUAUACCCAAUGUCAAAUAAAUUUUAAACAUAUAACUAGAUAGAAUAAUUAUAAUUGAUAGGCAUUUAAUAAAGUCCAUAACCAUAACCAUCCAAACAUCUAACUAAGAAUCCAGUCAGUAUCAGUCUUCAUACCAAUAUCGAUGCCAAGGCAUAUACCAAUACUGACACCGCCAAUUCCCAUAGUAGUCAUACAAAGCCUCUAAUAGAAAUCAAAGAACAUCCUAUCGGGACAUACCCCCAACCAUAGCCAAAAACAAAGUCCAAUAAAUAAACAAGAAUAUGAAAAGAAGUACAUGGCAUGAAAUAGAGUCUUCUGGAGUAUGGAAGCUUACUACUUCAGUCCAACACAAAGUUGUUCCCGAAUCCAAGAUCAUUGAGUAGGAGGAGUAGUAUGGCCGAUUCCUACAUCGCGUGGGGAUACAUUUCCCGAAGAUGGGUUAGCGGAUGAAUGCUAGUAUGUACUCAGGAAUAAGGAUAAAACAAUGCCAUUAUUCAAAAUCUAAGUAAAUAACCCCAUGCAACAAUAUACAUACAUAUAUAUACCAUACCAGGAAAGGGAAUAACUAUAUGCAACCACAUACAUACAUAUAUAUACCAUGUCGGGAAAGAGAACUGGGUUUAGCAUGAAUUUAAGACCUUUAACUUGGGAUUAUUUAGCUCUGUCAUCCUAAAUCCACCCAUGGGCUAUAUGGGUCCAUCCCCUUACUAAAAAAGCACCGGCGCGUAUUAGCCGCAUGAGUUGGAGAAAAAUUUAAGAUGAAUAGUACAUCUCCUAAAUAUAAGUGUGACAUGAUACACACAGUCACCAAGACCAACCUCACAUCAGCAAACAUGAGUUUCCAGUUUUGGUCCCCCUGGGACCACCACAUUUCAUGACUUUGCUAACACAUCCCUCUUUAAGCCCAUAUUAAAACUAUUUACACACAUCCAACCAAUUACCAAGGAGUCCUUUUUAUUAGGCAUUAACCAUUGGUAUCAUCAUAACAAACCCAGAGCUUACAGGUCUAUCCAUUUAUGUCAUACAAAAGACAUUAAACCAAUUUGACUCCAAAGUUUUUGUUCAAACCAAUACCAUGGACCAAGGACUUUCCAAUAAAUUUAAAAUCAUUUAAACCAAUUUAGGUUCCAUUACUAGAUUAUGAAAUGCAAAGUUUUCAAUUAUAGUCAAAUUAUGUAACAAAAUCAUUCUCAUAGGCAUUUUAACAAACAUGUUGAGGGCAUAAGAUUUUUCCAAUACCAAAACCAUAUAUCAAUUGACCAUUCCCAUGCAACCACAUGUUCAAACCACAAUUAUAACAUAAAAACAUAAGAAAACAUGGGAAAACAUUAUCCAACAAAGAACAACCAAAACCCCCCAAUAUAUACUUCAAAACCCAAAACAAUACCACAAUAAUGCUAUGAAAAUCAUUCAUUCAAAUAUUUUUUUGGUUGAGCUAAAAAUGAGAGAGGAGUAACAUGCCUUAAACAACAAGGAAAAUGAAUUUAAAACACCCUUUAGAGCCUUAAUUGAUUAACUUGGAGAAAACCCUAGUCUUUCUUGAACCAAGAUAUUGAGAGAGAUUUUAGAGUGUUUAGAGAGUGUUUGAUUGUGAAUAAUAGGUUAAGGAAACACACAUCCAACCAAUUACCAAGGAGUCCUUUUUAUUAGGCAUUAACCAUUGGUAUCAUCAUAACAAACCCAGAGCUUACAGGUCUAUCCAUUUAUGUCAUACAAAAGACAUUAAACCAAUUUGACUCCAAAGUUUUUGUUCAAACCAAUACCAUGGACCAAGGACUUUCCAAUAAAUUUAAAAUCAUUUAAACCAAUUUAGGUUCCAUUACUAGAUUAUGAAAUGCAAAGUUUUCAAUUAUAGUCAAAUUAUGUAACAAAAUCAUUCUCAUAGGCAUUUUAACAAACAUGUUGAGGGCAUAAGAUUUUUCCAAUACCAAAACCAUAUAUCAAUUGACCAUUCCCAUGCAACCACAUGUUCAAACCACAAUUAUAACAUAAAAACAUAAGAAAACAUGGGAAAACAUUAUCCAACAAAGAACAACCAAAACCCCCCAAUAUAUACUUCAAAACCCAAAACAAUACCACAAUAAUGCUAUGAAAAUCAUUCAUUCAAAUAUUUUUUUGGUUGAGCUAAAAAUGAGAGAGGAGUAACAUGCCUUAAACAACAAGGAAAAUGAAUUUAAAACACCCUUUAGAGCCUUAAUUGAUUAACUUGGAGAAAACCCUAGUCUUUCUUGAACCAAGAUAUUGAGAGAGAUUUUAGAGUGUUUAGAGAGUGUUUGAUUGUGAAUAAUAGGUUAAGGAAGCCUCCAAAUGUGUUUUAUGUCAUAGGGUUCAAACAGAGUUAUGAGAGAAAAUAUCCAAAAUACCCCCAACUUAAAAUGCAAAAAGGACGCAGGAGGGUACGGUUGAUCCCUCAACUCGUAUCCAUAUCAUACUAGUGGUAUUCUAUAUUCGUAUCUCGAUUAGAAAGUUGGACACCACAUUCUGUCAAACAUACGACUCCUUAGCCUAAAUCAUACAAUCACCAUAUGACAAUUACCCUUUAAGUUAUACCCUAAGUAGAACAUCAAGGCUAGACACUUGACAACAUAUGGAUGGACACCAUACCCCUCGUAUCAUGAACGUAUGACUUAUCACCACCAAUCUAUAACCAUGAUAGAAACUUAACCACUAAAUACUAGACACCCUAUGAGUUAGGUCACCUAACCCGUACCCAUACCAUACGACUAGUAUGGUGAGUUAUAUAAUGAUCAGAAAGCUCAAGACUCAAGAAAUUUGCAAGGGCCAGAACCUAGGGUGUUUCAAAUCAGCUGCAACCUUUCUUCUUUAUUUUAUAGGGACAUGGUCCUUAUUAUUUCCUUUGUCACCUCCAGUCUUGAGAUAUUCCUAAUAAUCCAUUUUGUGCAUUAGUCAAGUCUUUAAUAAAGUGCUCAAGAUUUUUAUGUUUGUGACAAACCUUAAUAGUGCCUCUCUUUUUGUUGUUGCUUCCUCUUUUUUGAAACUGGCCACUUUUAUUCAUAGCUCUAACAAUCCUUUUUGCCAAAUAGGCAACAUUUGUGUCUUCUUCACUUGAAUCAAACUUUGAAGCCUUCAAUGCCAGAGAUUUUCUCUUUUUGCUUCUUUCUUUUGUUGCCCUUGCUACUUCUUGAGUUCAUGAGUCUUCAAAUUACCAAUAAGUUUAUCCAUUGUGAGAGUUUUAACGUUUCUUGCCUCAGUAAUGGCAUCCACUUUGCUAUCCCAAGAUUUUGGAAGAACACCUAUAAUUUUUUUCACCUGUUUAUACAAAGGAAUAACUUCUCCAAAGCAGUGCAAUUCAUUGGUGGUUAAAGUGAAUCUAGUAUGCAUCUCUUAGAUAGUUUCUCCUUCUUUCAUGGUAAAGGUUCCAUACUGAGUAGUUAGCAUAUCAGAUUUUGAAUCCUUCACAUCAAUGGUUACUUCAUGAGUAGUCCUAAAGCAAUUCCAAAUUUCCUUAGCAUUUUCACAAGUAGAUAUCCUAUUAUCUUCAUCAAGUCCUAUGCCAUGGAUAGGGAAUUUCUUUGCCUUGUAAUUCUUCUCAACCUUCUUUUAAUAUUCAUCAUCAAACUCUCUCUUAGGUUUAACAACCAUCCUUGUUAUGUCUCAUUCUUUGACCUCUCUAAUAGGCAUAUGUGGACCAUCAAGUAUUACGUCCAUCAGCUCAUUGUCCUUAGCUAUAAUAAAGUCAUAUAUCCUAGUUUUCCACCACCCAUAGAAAUGUCUAUUAAAAUAGGGUGGUUUAGUGGUAGAUUGCCCUUCUUCUAGAUUAGGUGGAGCAUCCAUGAUCAAUAAAUCACUUUAGGGAUGAACCUUUAAGAGUUUCCUUGCUCUAAUAAAAAUUAUUGAAACGUGGGAGGUUGCACCAUACUAUGAGGGACCAGGUCCCUUAGAGUUAGACACAGUCAAUAAAAUAGUAAAGUAGUAGAAAACUAAAACUUUACUAGAAAUUAAAUAACACAAAUAUUUAACAUAGAAACCUCCUUACUCAAGGGAGGAAAAACUACGCCUUAACCUCACAAGGACUCAACAAUUCACCAUAAUUAAACUAUUGAUUAUAGACUCAAUGGAAACAUAAAUCUAAGCUCUACCAGUUUGUAACAACUCAAUUACAAACCUAUCUUGACAACUCUGCAAGAACUCACCUCAAUAUUGAUUAACUCUAACCAAUAUCAACUCAGGUUACUCUACCUAAGCACUCUCAAGGAUAUAAGAAAAGGACAUUACUCUUAUAACAUGAGUAAUUUAAUUAUAGACGCAAACAUUACUCAAGAACACUCACUGUUUUAGCACACACAAGAACUAUAAACUUAAGCAAUGUUGUAAAGUUGAGUUUUAUCUGAUUUCUCACUUGAACAAUAAGAUUGAAAAAACUAGUGAAUUGGGGAGCAUUCUUUUAUAUUUAUAGCUGGAUAAUGAUUAAGGUAAAAAUAUGAUUGGGAUAGGUGUCUUGAUAGGUACAAGCUCACCUGUAUAGUUUGUUACACUAACAGAUAAAACUGCAUAGGCCAGUAAUAGAUGUAUUGAGUUCAUGAAGACCUAGGGACCUGGUCCCUUGUUGUCAUCUGAUCAUCAUCAAAAUAAGAUAUACCAGGAUUAUUUCUUAUAUAUGUGCUAGGAAACUUUUCUCAAGGAGUUACUAGUCUUACCUCGCUUAUAUUCAUGAUGUUACUGUGGGCUAUUUUUUACCCACACUAGCAGAUCUAGAGUAGAUUGGGCAUACCUCUAAAGCUGAUAGGGCACAUGUCCCCUUUCGGGGGCUUUCUAUCCCCAUUUUGCCUUUCCUUAGCCUCUUUUAAAAUCUCGCGUCCAUUCUAGAUCAUCAUAAUAAUCUAAUUGUCACCUUUUGGAUAGCACCAAGAAGUCUUCAAGUGCCUCUUGACCUAUAAGCAUCCUCUUGUAUGAUCUGAAAAGCCAUUUGGAUUGUAUCAUUUUCUCCUACUUGAAAAAGAUUCAUCCCCGAAUCUACAACUUUCAAUCAUAAGAGGAAAACACAAAAUUAAUAUUUUGUCGAAGCACAAGGGUUAGCAUAAGGGCUAAAUUCAAAACAUCUAUGCUAAGGAGACACCCAUUUAACAUUUAACCAAACAUCCUUUAAAGGUAAUGGAAGAGAAGCCAAUAUUUAAGUUGCAAAGGAGUUGGCUAUGAUAAGCAUCAAUAAAUUCUCUGAAGUUAUCUCCAUUAACAAUGUUACCAAACAAAUCAUCACAUGUUGGAACAACUAAGGUUAGAAUCAAGGAGUCAUUAGGGUGUAGAUUACCCUUCCAUUCACAAAAAAUCAUGUUUACACACAAAACAUUCUUAGCAUUAGCAUAACUAUGCUCACAAACAAAGAAAAUGGAAUGAAUAGAGCUAUGAUUACCUGAGGUAAUACCAAGAACCAGAUUACAUAAAUGUAAGAACAAAUAUCUUAAGCAUCUCACUUGAACAACCCCCAAGAACGAUCCAACUUGUCUAUCCACAAAAGUGUUACAAGAAUCAAGGGUUAAGCAUUCUUUAUCAAGUAGGAACCAUAGACUCUUCUUAGAAUAACAAAUAGACUGACCAUACGGGUUGGGGAUUCCACUUAUUUCAUGCACAUUCAAGUCAUUCCAAAAUAUGGUUAGAAAGAAAUCAACACCAUCUAGGUAGGAUUUUAAGUCAAAUAUCUUUAAAAGAUUAUCUACUUAAGGAUAAAUAUCAUCAUGAGUCCAAGGAAUGUUAGGAAUAAAAUGGGUAGGUACAUACCUUUGGAGAAAAUCCUUGAGCUUGCUCUCUUGUCUUCUAUACUUGCACCAUGUGGCAUUUCCCUCUCAUGCAUCAUCCUGGAAGUUCACACAAGAUUAGAGCCAAAUAUAGGGAAUAACAAUGGCUUGGUUUUGUCACUAAGCUCUCCUUCUUAAUCCCAAAGCUCCUUAUCUUCACCAUUAAUAUCCCUCCUCAUCAUGAGGUUAAGGUUCAUGACCUCUCUUUAUUUGGUCCAAACAUCCUAAUGGGGAACUUUCAUCAUCAAUCCACAAGGUACACUAAAGUCCUCUUUAACUUCCGCUAAUUCCUCUUCACUUACAAGGUAUUCAUCCUCUUGAGGAUUUUACUCACCACCAUCUUCAUGGGUCACCUUAUCCCCAACAAAGUAAAUAUCACCUUCUAACAACACUAUGUUCCUUCGAUUGGGGCAUUCACUUACCUUAUGACCCCAACCUUGACAUUUAAAGCAAACAAUACCUUUAAAAUUGAGAGCAGAAGAUGGAUUACCGUUAUUCGUUGGUGGAUACCUUUGGAUUGCCUUCUCAAUGGGAUUCUUCUCUACAAACUUAUUGGAAUCCUUGAUCUUAUUCCAUCCGGAGGGUGUAGAAGAAUUGUAACUUCUAUUGAAGGACUUCUUUGCAUUAUUGUUCCUUUCAGCCUCAAUGGCUGCUUUAACAAUAUCUUCUAUUCAUUCAAACUUGUGGGCAACUAGUUAAGAAGAAAUAUCAUAAUCUAACCCGCCUUUGAAUCGAUCCACACAAUGAUUUGGGGGUUUGAAAAUCUCAAGACUAAGAAUUAAGUUUUAAAACUCCUCACAAUAGUCUUCCACACCUCUACCUCCUUGCCUCAAUUUAUAGAGCUUUGUUAGUUGAUCUUGUUCAAACCUUUCCAUUACAUACCUCUCUCCCAUGAGUGCCCUCAAUUCAUUCUAAUUCGAGAGGUUGGUAUUAAUCCUUGCACUCUUUAAUUCUCCCACCAAGUUGAAGAAUACCCUUUAAAUUGAGUAAUUACAUGAGAGGCUUUCUUGUGUCCAGUUAACUUAUUAAGUUGGAAAAUCUUAUUGCAUUGUACUUCCUAGUAAAGGUAGACCGAUGGAUCACUAGUUCCUUUGAAGGUAAGAAGAGUGAUCUUGAUUGAGUUAAAACCCAUGUCUCAGCCCAUAUUUCCUUCUUGAUCCCAUUAACGAUCCUCUUAAACUUGGGAAUGGUUUCCCAAGUUUCCUCUUCUAUAUGGAACUGGACCAAAUAUUUCUCCUCGUCCUCUAUGUCCUCCCCCUUGAUCUCAUCUUCUAGUUCAUACAAAUUCCAUAAAGAGAUCCACUUUACCUAACCUUACAUAAGGUUUCUUACUUCCCACAUCAUCUAUUUGGACUGGUUAAUUAUGGUUAGCCAAGAUUUGAGGUGGUUAGUUUUGUAUAAUGGGAUGGUUUUGUGGGUCUUCUUGAUUGACUUGAUUUAAUUAGGGUUGCAGUGGAUGAACGGGUUUUGAUUAUUUAGGUAAAUAGUACCUUGGAGAGGGGGAUCUUGUACUUUCCUCGGGGGAUUGUACAUUUGAUGAAGUAUUUUUGGAGUUAUAGUAGAGGAGGUGUUAUGAGCAUGGCCACUAGAUAAAGAAUAAGGUUUUUGAGGAGUUGAUGUGGUGGAAUCUAAAUGCCCUUCCACAUUAACUAUCCUUCCAUUCAAUCCCGAUAAUUCACUUCGCAUUUCAUUUACAUCUUGUUUCACACUCAUUAUGGCCGCCAUUAUAGCUUCUAUGUUUAUCUUACUCGAAGCUCUUGGGAUAUAUUCUCCCAAUGCCAUACCUAAAUAAAGUAAAUAAUAAAACUAAAACUAAAACAAAAAACAAGUUAAGGAUAGGAAAUCAACCUCACAAGCUCUCAAAGUUCACACAAUCGUGUUGUCUCUCAAUUGGUAUCGAAAGCGUUGAUAGAUCAUUUAUACUCCGAUGAGAAUUCUUUGUACUAAUUUUGGAUUGAGGUUGGAAUGGAUUAUUUUUUGAAAUGACUCAAAAAAAUAUAUACGGACUUGAGUCAAGAAGCUAUGACGAAUUAAAAACUAGAAAAGCUUAAAAGAAAAGAAACGUUGAAAGAAAUGGGACUCAAAAACUAGUCAAUCAACUUAGUAGAUAAAUUAAUUAUUUGUUGAGUAGUUUAUGAAUAAAAAGACUAUAUUAGGAAUCAAUAAAUUGAAACUAAAGAAUUAAAACUUGAACAAAAUGGAAUCCAAAAGCUUUAAAUGUGUUUGGAAGCCUGAUUUACGGUCAAUUGGGGUUGAUCUGCAUUGAGGAGUUCUUGCAGCGGGUGGGGUGCAUCCCCAAUGCACCUUGGAUGUAGAGGUGGACUUAGCUACUUCCUUGAGGUGUAGCCACAGGUCUGGAGCAAACCAGGCGCAACUACAGCGCAGGUCACCCACCCCUCUCUUGAAUGGGUGAUUUUUACCUUCUAGUGGUCCCUUUUUGUACUCUCUCUUGGAAUAUACUUUGGAAUUUUCUUAGAUGCACAAGUAAAAACACUUUUUCACUACUUUUCAUCCUUCUUUUUGUAUCAAACACCCUCUUUUGAUAAAAUUUCAGCUUGAAGAUUUGAAUUUCUCCAAGAACACUAACUUCUUCUCCCCAAGCUCGGAUGAGUUAAAAUUUUGAACGUAAGAACUUUUCAACGUUCUAAACUCAUUCCCAAUAUAGUUUUACCAAUUUUUCCAGAUUUUUCAACCCACUUCACUUUUCUUCAAGUUCAAGCUCUUAACAAUGGUAGCUCACUUAAUAUGACUUCGAUUAAGCUCAAAUUUGAAAACUAGACUCUAAUAGUGUUAGGGAACUCAAAUCUAACACUAGAAACACAAGAAAAACACAUAAUCAAAAACUCAUAAUUUGACCUAAGAAUAAAAUGUGAAUAGUAACUUCUUUUAAAUUUUCAAUUUUGACACUUUUUUUUGUUGAUUUUCAAGAUAACAAACCCAAAAUUGACUUUGCAGGAAUAAAAUCAAGCUCGGAUCUAAUACCAAAUGAUAAUGAAACAAAUGAUGGAAUUGAAACUAAGUAAAGAAAUGAAGAAAACAAAGAUAAAGAUAGAUAGAUAGAUAGAUAAAGCAAUAAGAUAGACACAAGAAGGAAAUGGAUAACAAACAAAGGGUAUAUCAAACCCUUAAUCCUCUAUUGAAUAUCCGAUCAAGCACCUAAAUCUUACAUAGAUCUCAAGGGAAUUAGAUUCCCAAGAAACCCACACUUCUAAACGGAAGAUUAACACAAGUGAUUCUGCGCUUGCCUCGCACUCUCACAAGAGUAUUGUCAUGAUCUAAACCAGGGUCUGUCCAUGACGGGUAUCUCAAUUCCAGUAAAGACAGGAGACAACCCCCUUUGCCUAGCCAAACAGAACAAAACACAUAUAGCAGCGGAUGUAUUUCAAACAUAUAGUAAGAUAGAAUAAAUGUAAUCUCAAAGGAGUCUAAGAAUAUCAACAACAAUACCCAGUUUGCAAUAAUCCACAAAGUCUCUAUGACAAAACCUAAUAGAAUCUAAGUCGAUACAUGCCUUCGACGAUAGCCAAAGAAACCAUAUGAAUAGUUUAUGACAUAAGAGAAUAGAAAAAUAAUGAAAUAAAGCUCUUCCAGAGAAUGGAAGCUCACCACUCCAAGCUAACUCCUGACACCCUAAAAUCCUAUCACUGUGUAGAAAAGUAGAAGUAUUAAUGUUGCCUGCAUCACAUGGGGAUAUAGUAUCUGAUAAUGAUGAGCGGGUUGAGUGCUAGCAUGUAACACAGGGCAAGGAUAAAAUAAUGUCAGUUAAAAGUUAAAUUUCAAACUCACUAUACAUGUUCAUAUGCAUAUGUAUAUAUAGUAGAUGUUGGGGUAGGGAACAAGGUUUAGCAUGAUAGUAAAACAUUAUCUAGGACUAUGUAGCUAAGCUGUCAUAAACAGGCACCCACGGGCUAUAUGGGUUCAGCUUUCCCUGCUAAAAGAGCCCCAGUGUGUGUUAACCGCAUGAACCAGAGGCAUCAAGGAAGACCAAAAAAUGCCCCGAGCCCACGUCAACCUAGAUACAAAAUGUAUCAAUAGUGUGAACCAUACACACGGUCAUCUAGACCAACCCUCAAGUCGGUAAAUGUGAGUUUCCAGUAUAAGUCAUUCAAGACUCACACCUUCACCUCUUAGCUACAUAACACCCAUUAAUCCCAAUUAAAACAACUUUCACAUAACCCAUUCAUUAACCAAGGAAUCAUAUAUUAAGGCACACCAUGGUAUUGUCAUACCUAUUUAGCUUGCAAGCUUAUACUUAUGCCAUUACAAUUCCAUUAACUUGAGGGAAUGCCUCGACACCCUUUGUUCAUUAUAUCAAGUUGGAGGAAUGCCUCAACCUCCUUUAGUUUAUCAAAAUAAAACAUAGCCAACAAGGCUUCAAAAUCUAUUUUUAUUGUUUAAUCAUUUAUGUAAUGCUAUAGUAUAGGUUAGUAAAUCAAACUAAGUGACAAUUCCAUAAUUCAAAGCCAUUUACACAAGUGGGUUCAGGGAAUACAAUUAUUCAAAAUUAAUUUCCAAGUUCAAAACAUCAAUUUGAGGGAUUUUAUCGACCCUCAUUUUAAUUCCCCCGCCCAUGCACCCUAUUAGUUCAAAAACAUCCACUUCAAAGCAUGAACAACUCAUGAAAACCAUGGGAAAAUAAUUCAAGGAUCAACCAUUUCAAAACCAUCAACCCGUGUUAAAACUCACAUUAAAAUCCAUACAAUUAAACCAUUUAAAAUACGUUCUUUUCACAAAAUAAGAUUUGGAGAAGAGUAACAUGCUUGAGAUAUUACGAUUUACGAAAAGAAAUUAACCCUUGGAAGUUCUAGAGACCAAUUUCUUAAAACCCUAGCUUAUUCAUGCCUUAGGGAUUUAAGAGAGUUUAGGAGAGUGUUGAUGACUGGUAGGUAUUGAAAAUAAUGCCCAAAGGUGAUUUAUGGUUGUAGGAUCUAAGUAGGGGAAAAGGGAAAUGACCAGAAUGUCUUUAAUAAAUAGACUAAAAAUUAACCACACAAUCGCUACGGGUCACAUGAUGACUCAUAAUGACUGGAUAUGAGUCAUUUCUUAGACUCAGAGUUUGGUCAGUAUCAUAGGUAUGCACACUGGUCUGACUAUGAUUCGUACCUUAUAACUCAUACUCAGACCUUAUGACUCGUAUGGUCUAGUUGUUGUAUUGGAAGAAACAUUUAGGCAUCCUUACUGGUUAGGCUACGAAAACCGCUAUAUGACUUGUAAUGGGUCUUGACAACUCAUUGGGUGAUAAUCAUGACCAAUACAAAGACUUUUCCAAACACACUGGUCAGGCUACGAUUACAGUCCUACAACUCAUAUGAUAAGUCUUAGUCUGGGCAGUGAGCUCAGAGGUUAAAAAAAUUUUAAGGGCCAAAAUCUGGGGUGUAAGUAUACAUUCAUAAUUUAUCAAAGUCUAACAACUAAAUGGAAGAAAAGACAUAUUUAUAGUCUAGGGUUAAUUAUUACAUCAUAUGGGCCAAAAAAUUAUCCAUUUGGGAAAGACAAAGCAUAGAAGCCCAUUAAGAAUUCCCUUAGGCAAUCCAAGCACACAUGGGAUGCAUCUUCAAGUCAUGUGAGUUAUUUUUGACCCACUCUAGCAGAUCUAGAGUCGGUUGGGCACACCUACAAAGCAGAUGGGGUGCAUUCUCCUUUCGGGGGCUUUCUAGCCUCAUUUUGCCUUUCUUUGGCCUCUUUAAUAUCUCUCGUUCCUCCUCAAUCAUCAUAAUAAUUCAAUUAGCACCUUUUGGAUAGAACCAAUGAGCCUUCAAGUGCCUCUUGAACUAUAAGCCUCUUCUCUAAUAAUCUGGAGGCCAUUUGGAUUGUAUUACAAUACAAGUUAUGGCAUGGAUUUUAUUUCCUGAUCUUUUACCUACUUUUUUUGUGAUGAAUCACUUUUUUCAUUAGAAGAAACUAUGGGAAAAACCAUCCAUCUUGAUAUGUCCACUAUUAACAAGGCCCGACCUAGUUGUGCGAGGGUGAAAGUCCAAAUUGAUUUAGCAACUAAGUUACCUGAUAAAGUGGAGAUAGAAGUGAAUAAAACAAAAGAAGCAAGGAUUCAAUCAGUCAAAACUCGAUAUGAUAUGCUUCCUAAAUAUUGUUUCAAGUGUAAAGUUCAAUGUCAUGAGAAGGUGGAGUAUAGAAUUUUACAUUCAGAAUUGAAAAAUUAUGUGCAAAAAAGACAUAAAUAGGAAGUUAGUUUUUGCUAAAUGGAAUCCUACAAGUCAAAAAUUUCAAAUUGAAAAAGGAACCAACAAAUUUCUAGAUAAUGUUGUAGACAUGAAAAAUGAGGAAAAGGUGUUACAGGCCAAUAAAACAAUCAGUACUAAGAACUCAUUUGGCAUCCUUCAACAACAAGAUGAAGGCAGUUAACUUACUCAAGCUACGGGAACAAUGACCUCAAUGGUGGAGGGAAAGGAAAAUAUGAAGAAGAAGAAAAAUAAUGUAAAAGAAAAGCUGAGUAACAUGCAAAAUAUAGAUCAACAUAAAUCUGUUUAGUAGAAAUAAAAUAGGAAAAAUAUAUAUUCCAUGAGUUAAUAUGGAUAAUCAGGUGGAGGGAUGUAUUACAACUGACAAGGACAACAUCAAUGAGACUAGCAACAAUAGUUGUUCAAUGGGAACUGCAGAACCUAUUCAUGAUAAAUAUAUGAUAUUAAAUGUAGUGGAUCACAAAGAUACUCAACAACUUACAUGUACCAACAAAAAUCUAAGGAAAAGAGGCAGAAGUAUAUUGCUAGAACAGGGGAAUGUAGGUGUAAAUCAAAAUAAAUUACAUAGUAGUGGAAAAUACAUAGAAGACAUUCAUAGAAACAAAGAAAGUCCACAAAUGCAAAAAAAAAAACAUGUUGAUUAUUGAUAGUCACAGUGCAAGAGGAGGUGAUAUUGUGAAUAAUGAUAUACCUGAUGACAUACAUUCAAAUAGGGUUCAAUUAGCCCUUGCUCAAGCUACAUAAAAUGAGGCACUUUAGGUGGAUGAAUCAGGUGUUAGAGGUGAUGAGGGAUUUCUUCCAAAUAGCAUAGAAGGGGAGGCAAGUAAUCUGGCAUUAGCAGCAUUGAAAAAAUCAAACAACAAAAAAUUACAUAAUUUGGUUUCCCACCAAAUAACAAAAGAGGUAAAUCAUGAAAGUACAGAUACAGAUGACAUAUGGAUAAAAGAUACAGAAGAAGGAAAUAAUCAAAAAAAACUAAACCAAGUAAUGAAAGAAGCAGGUUUAUCACCACGUGCAAAUAACAAAGGUAAAAAGAGUAGGAUCAAAGUUGAAAAGCCUACAAGGACCAGUUCUAGGAGGGGUGGUAAAGCCAGCAUUCAAUGAAUUUAAAAGCACUUUUCUGGAACAUCAGAUUAGUUAGGUCACAACAUGUUUUCCACAUAGUACAAAUGUUACAUAGGCAUCAUAUUACUUUUAUUGCUUUGAUGGAGUCUUUUCAAGAUAUCAGACACAUAUAGAGGUAUAAAAGAAUAUUGGGCAUGAAAUAUACAAAUUAUAAUAUGAAUGUAAAGAUAUGGAUUUUUGUUUAAAAAAAUAUACAGGUGGAGACAUUAGCAUAUUCUGAUCAGCAAAUCACAUUUUAGCUAGUUGUUCAGAAUGAUCAAUAGGUGAUUAUUAUAGCUGUUUAUGCUAAAUGUGAUGUAAGUGAAAGAAUUGCUUUAUGGGAUCUAUUUACUCAUUGAGUCAUAAUGUUAGAGUAUCUUGGAUGGUAAGGGGACUUUAAUGUUAUCAUGAAUGAAGAAGAGAAAAUUGGAGGAUUACCAAUGUAUCCUAAUGUAUAUGAACAUUUUGCUUUCUACAUCAACCCCUGUGAUCUAUUUGAUAUUAAUUUAAAAGGGAGUCCAUUCACUUAGUGGAAUGGUAGGGCAGAUGAUCCAUGUAUUUUUAAGAGAUUAGACAUAAUCGUUAUUAACUAAGAGUUUUUGGGCAUUAUGGGGCGUAUUGAGGUUGAACAUCUAUCCAGGACACGAUCAGAUCAUGCUCCUUUGUUAUUCUCUUGUAGUGAUGAAAAUGUUCAGUUUCACAAGCCUUUUAGGUUUUUGAAAUUUUGGACUGAGAAAGAGGACUUCAAAGAAAUGGUAAGAUAGAAUUAGGUAUCAAAAAAAUGUAGGCAUAUCUUUAUCAAUUUAAAGCAAAAAAUGAAGAAAACCAAAAUGGCUCUAGCUUUAUGGAGCAGAUUCAUGUUUGGAGAUAUAUUUAAAUAAUUAGUCAUCAAGAAAUACAUAGUAAGAAUCAAAAAUGAUUUGUUUGAAGAAAGUCCUACUACUACUAACAAAAUAAUUUUUCAGAAGGCACAGGCUGAGUUGAGGUAGUGUUUACAUUAUGAAGAAGAGUAUUGGAGAUAAAAAUCUGGUAUUCAAUGAUUUUCAGAAGAGAAGGAAAUAUGAAAUUCUUUCUGGUGAAUGCUAGAAGGAAAAAGCUAGAAAUAACUAGAAUUUAGAGAGUUGAUGGUUCUUGGGUUGAAGAUAAUAAUUAGGUAGCUGUAGAAAUAAUUGAUUUCUACCAGAAAUAAUUCACUGGAUCAGUUGAGUCUGGUGCAUAUUCUUUUAUUAAUUUGAUUUCUACCCUAAUCACAAAAUAAGAGAAUAAUUUGUUGAAGGUUUGUCCUGACACUGAAGAAGUUAAAAAGGUAGUUUCUAAACUGAAUGGGGAUAACGCUUGUGAGCCAGAUGGUUUCACUGGACAUUUUCAUCAGUUUUGAUGGGACAUUGUUAGUGGUAAUAUUGUGAAGGUAGUUCAUGUAUUUUUUAUGUAAUGACACUGCCUAAAUCUAUCACUCAUACUAAUUUGGUUCUAUUGCCAAAUAAAGAGAAGGUCAAGAGAGAAGGUCUUGACCUUCUUUGACUUAAGACCUAUUAGUUUGAGUAAUUUUCCAAACAAAAUCAUAUUUAGAAUUCUUCAUGAUAAAUUAUAAGGUUUCUUACCUAGGCUCUCUCAAAAUCAAUCUGAUUUUGUUAAGGGAAAAAUUAUCACAGAUAAUGUAUUAUUGGCCAAGAAAAUUAUAUGCGAUAUUAAAAAAGGGAGUAAGGCUGCAAAUAUGGUAAUUAAGCUUGAUAUGACCAAAGUCUACGAUAGAGUGGAGUGAAAUUUUUUUAUGGAAAUGUUGGAGAAAAUGGGCUUCUCAAAUGUCUUUACUGAUAUGAUAUGGAGACUAGUAGCCAAAAAUUGGUACUCUAUCCUAAUAAAUAGGGAAGUUCAUGUCUUCUUCCAUUCUUCUAGAAGAGUAACGCAAUGGGGUCCUUUAUCCCCUUCUUUAUUUAUUAUUAUUGCUGAAGUUAUAACAGGGCACUUAAUAAUUUAUUCUCAUAUGAUGAUUUCAGGAGUUAUGGACUGACUAAAUAGAGUGAUCAAAUAAAUCAUCUUGCUUAUAUUGAUAAUACAAUAAUAUUUUUUUUGCUGACAGGUUUUCAUUGUAAUUAAUUAUGCAGAUCUUAAGAGAAUAUGAAAACCAAUCGUGUCAACAGGGAAAAGAGUGCCUUUUAUGUACAUAACAAGGUUACUCAUGCACAUGUUUAAUUGGUGGAGCAUUGUACUGGCUUUUCCAAGAGGUAAAUUUCCAUUGACAUAUCUGGUUGUGCUAUUGGACAUGCUAGGAAAAGAAAGAUUAAUUUUUUAGAGCUAUUAAAGAAGGUACAAAAUAAACUUCAGUUAUGGAAAGGCAAACUAUUAUCAUUUGGAGGUAAAGUUGUGUUGAUUAAUAAUGAUUUGCAGAGUAUCCUCAUUUAUCAAUUAUUCGAUCUUAUACCUCCAAAAUGUGUGAUUCAUGAUCUUUAUAGAUUUUUUGCUAAAUUUCUAUGGAACUUUAGAAAAAGAGGGAGGAGUAAACACUAGGUCUCUUGGACUAAUAUAUGUCUACCAAAAAAGGAAAGUGGUAUUGAUUUUAGAUCUUUUUUUUAUGUGUCUAAAUCCUUAUUUUCAAAGCUAUGGUGGUAUUUUAGAAUACAAAAAAAUAAUGUGGACUAAUUUUAUGAGAACAAGUACUGUAAAAGGCAUAGACCACAAGUAGUUGAAUGGAAAGGUGGUUCUCAAGUUUGGAAGUUUAUGUUACAGGCUCGAGAUUAUUUUGACCAAGAAAUAUGGUGGAAAUAUAAGUGUGGACAUGUUAGUAUUUGGUCAGAUAAUUGGACUCAAAAGGGAGCUUUACACUAUUAUCUCCCAUUAAACUAUAAUAAUAAUGGAUGAUUGGAAGAUGUGCAUCAAUUAAUGAAUCAUGAUGGGUGGAAUAGGGAUCUACUUAAGGAAAUUUUUUCUGAAGAUAGAUGCAAUCAUGUACUUAAUAAGAUUGGGACAAUAGGAUAUUUUAAUGCUUGGGAUAAUCCAUGGUGGAUGCCACAAGGUUCUAGAAAAUUUACAAUUAAAAGUGGUUGGACUAUCAUAAGACAGUCUGGGAAUGUCAAUGAGGAUUUAAGGUUUAUAUGGGAAAAGGGUAUACCUUUCAAAGUAUCUUUCUUCUUCUUGAGUUAUGAAAGAAAAUAUUACCUACAGGUGACUUUCUAGUCAGUACAUGAUGGGAAGAAAUGACUAAUUGUGUUUGUUGUGAGUUACCAGUUCAUGAAUCCUAUGAACAUCUCUUUGUUCAGUGUUCUGCAGCUAAUAAUUUGUGGAUAGUUUUUGCAUCAAUAUUGAAGUGUAGGGCCCUUUUCUUCAUUUAAAAUAUGUUAUCUACAAGUGGUGGAAUGCUAAUUAUUGUGCUAAACUUAGGCCCCUAUUUAUUGUUAUUCCUGUUUUCAUACUGUGGAAAAUAUGGAAAGAAGAAACAUCAUCAAACAUGAAGGUAGGAUGUCAAUUCAUGGCAUACAAUAGGAAAUAAAUUGGAAUCUGUAUUUGUUUGCUAAGAUAAGAUAUCCUUGGCUUAAUAAUAUCCCUAGUAACUGGCCUAUGAUGGUUAUGUUCUUGGAAGUUUAUAAACCUAAUAUCCAGGCUACUGUGGUCAAGUGGAAGCCUCCUAUCAAUGGUUUUUAUAAGUGCAAUAUUGAUGGUGCCUCUAAAGAUAACCCUUGUCCUAGUGGUGGUGCUUUCUGUAUUAGAGACAGUAAAGGGAAAUUUAUUUUUGCUAAGUCAUUCUCUUUUGAUAUCUUAACUAACUUAGAGAAAGAAUUUGUUUCCUUUAAGAAGGGUUUAGAGUAACGUGUGAGUCAAAAGUUGUUAACAGUUACUAUGAAAUAGAUUCUCUCAUUCUUAAGAAAAUCCUAGAUGGAAUCUGGGAGAUUUCCUGGAAGGUUUCUAUAUAUAUCAAAAGAAUUCAAUGGUUGAAGAGGCAAUGUCAGGUGGAGGUGUUGCAUACGCUAAGGGAAGGGAACAAACUGGUGAAUUUUUUAGCUAAUGAAGUUUUCUUUUUAGCAGGUACGCAAAAUAUAAUACACAUUGCUACAGGAUAUUGCAGAUGAAGGAAAAAUAAUUAUAAAAAUGGACAAGCAUUAAAUCCCAUCACUGAAGUUUGUCAAAUAACAUUUUUUUCUAUAUAAAAGGCAGUCAUAUUAAAUAACAUACCAGAUCUGAGAUAGCAAAUAACAAGAAAUGCAAAGGUCAAGGCACAUACAGAGGGGGAAUUGAUCCAAAUAGAGGUACAUAUAGCUAUAUUAACAUUGAUUGUCGAGCAAUAAAGUACAAGUACAUAUGUACAUUUUAGACUAGUGCAUGCGACAUGGGUAAAAUACUAAGCUUCAGAAAAGAGGGUUUUGUACCUUUUUCAUGCUUACUCAAAUCAUCUAAGUUAAUGUCCUUUGUCAGUGGUAUCAGCUUCUUGUUGAGCUCAACCUGUCAAGGGUAUGAUUUAGAUAAUCCAAUUUAAACAUUAGAUUAGGUAAUGGAGGAUUUUGGGAAAGAUUUACGUUUACCUGAGGAUCAAAUGUCUCAAUUUGUUCUAAGGGGAGUUGAUGAAGUCUUCCUAUAAUCCGAUUUCAUGGCAUUUGUGAGACAAUUAUAAAUGUCUAAAAUGAAAUUCAUAACUUCACUAAUGGACAGAUUUGAGCUAAAUACAUGGUGUUGGCUUAAGCUUUCCCUUUUAAUCCGUCAGUGAGGCAGUUUCAGCUUUAUAAUCCGUGUGGGGAAGAUGAAAAUGCAUAAGAAUUUUUCUAGAUACUUAUCAUACUUUUUUAUAUGACAUUCAUAGUUGCAACAACUACAGGGGCAUUAAGUUGUUGAGUCACACUAUGAAGAUUUGGGAGAAAGUGGUUGAGCGGAGGUUGAGGAGGAGUGUGUCUAUUUCGGAGAAUCAGUUUGGAUUUAUGCACUGCCGCUCGACGGAGGAGGAAAUUUACCUGGUGUGGAGACUAAUGGAGACGUAUAGGGAGUGAAAGACGGACCUCCACAUGGUUUUC